rnacentral:lncRNA from 1 species
UCUUCUCUAAGGCCCCCUGAUAGUGCUAAGUCAGGAAUAAUGUGGUUGUGUUGGGGAGAAAGUGGGAGAGUGCUGUAAGCAAGUCACUCCUCUCUCGAGGAAUACCUCUACAUAUUUACAGGAAAGCUGGAUUUAUUUGUUCUGCUAGCUAAUUCAUUUAUCCACAAGGAUAAGCCUAAUUACAUAUAUUAAUAAAGGCCGAGUUUUGGGGAUGCAUAAACUGAGCCAAACUGGCACAUUUCAGCACUUUAAAGUAGAUACCAUUCUCAUCCCCAUUUUGUAAAUAGGAAUCCCAAGCUCAGAAAGAUUAAAUAAUUUGCCCACAGUCGCAUAGCCAAUAACUAACUGGUUGAUUCAGGGUACUAACAUUUCUAUUCCUAGCCCUCAUGCUCUACCAGCAUCCUCAAGCUAUUGGAUGUAGGCAUUAAAAUAAUUCUACUUGCUAUAAAAAUUGACCCUAAAAUGUGUAAAGUCUCAAAUUCAGUGAAAUGCUCAUUAAACAACAUAAGCAGCAUUCAUUCUCCUCCACACAGUGGCUCAGGCACCCAGGCUCUUCACAUCUUAUGUCCUUGCAUCCUCUGCAUCCAAAUAGCAGAAGGAUGAAAGCAGAAUGGAGGAAGUACACUUGUUCUUAAAAGCCUCGCUCUAGAAGUACCACAUGGUCAUGUCUGCCCACUAGGGAUGUUGACCGGGAAAUUCGAGUCUGGAUAAAGAACAGCUUGGUAUCAAUUUUAUACAAUGGAAGGGGACAAGCAGCUAACUGGCUCUCACACAUAUGUAAAACCUCUUUCGUUAUAAUAAUUUAAAGCAUUUAAAAUUAAUGCUUAAUUGGAGUACACAUCGUGGCUCAGCAGAAACGAAUCUGACUAGCCUCCAUGAGGACACAGGUUUGAUCCCUGGCUUCACCCAGUGGUUAAGGAUCUGGCAUUGCCAGCAGCUGUAGUGUAUGUAGGUCGCAGACAUGGCUUGCUUGGAUGCCUUGUUGCUGUGGCUGUGGUGUAGGCCAGUGGCUACAGCUCUGAUUCAACCUCUAGCCUGGGUAUCUCCAUGUGCCAUGAGUGUGGUCCUAAAAAAAAAAAAAAAAAAAAAAAGGCCUAAUUAACUUAAUUAGUUUAAUUCUUUAGGUAGAGUCUGAAAGUACUGAUGGUUUUUUAUGUUACUGCGAGGUCUGUGCACAGCAGGCUCGAUCCAGGGGCCUCUAUAUACUAGUUUCAAAGCCUGUCCAAUUCCAAAACUGCCCCAGGAUUUCUGUUCCUUCCUCAGUGUUAGGUUUUCCUGGCCUCUUCUGACUCUUGGAGUCCAGGUUCCUCUUUGCAUUACACGUAGACCUCUGUGUGAAGCUGGGCCAUUUCUUUGCUUAAUUUUAUUUUUUAUUGAAGUAUAGUUGAUUUACAAUGCCAUGUUAGUUUUAUAGGUCACUUUAUCAUUUUUUGACAGAAUGCAAAUACAAGGGUAAAGAAGGAUGAGAUUGUUUUCUAGUCAACCUUUACUGGAUGUUGUGCUCUCUAGCAAGUUCAGUACUUAUAAAUAAAUCCCUUAGGAAUUACAGGUUAGCAUGUCCUUUUUUAAAUGUUGGUUUAUUAUGGAGAAUUUCACUUGAGGUAGAUAAUUACAAUUAAGCCUUGGCACCUCAAAAUAAGAGAAUAUAUGUAUUCACACUCAAAGUACUUAAAGCAAAAAUAACUCAAAAAACAACACCAAUAUAAUUUAUCUGGGCUUGAAAGGAUUUUUUUAAUUCUUAAAAUUUUUCCCCUUGAUUGUUUCUUUUUCUUGUAUAUGCGAAAGCCCAAUUCUGUUCCUCUUCUUGUGUGUGCAUAAAGAUUCCUGAAACCACCAUUAUCAUGAGGAGUUUGUUUUCACCCUGAUACCUGGUGCUGCAGUGAUGUUCUAGGUUAAAGACUGGAUCUUCCCACUUCUCAGACUGCAUGACAUUUUGAUGACUAUGUUUGUCUACCAUCUAUGCUUUCCUGGUAGUUAAUUGCUAUGGUUGAACAAAUCUCUGGGGUCUCUGUAGAUAACUGUCUUAUAUCUCCAGUUCUCUACCCAUCAUUUAUAUCUACCCCCCAAAAAAAAACAGUCAUAAUGAGCAUAAUCUCACAUUUGGUGGUGAAACUCUCCUUUGGUAUUCUUGUCAUGUGCUUCGUGUCUCUUGGUUGAUUCCCAAAAGAUUGGGUCUGUCUGUACUAGUUGGUUCUUUGUCUUAGGCAUUCUCAACAUGUAUAAAGGAGAAUGAAUAUCAUCACUGACCUAAUUCUCCCAUGUAAACUGGAAAGCGAUCCCAUCCAAGUGUAUUAAGCUGUCCUGUGAUAUCUCAGAGAUGGGCUGACGUUCUGCAAUCAGUGAGUUGACAUAUUGAGCUCUAAGACAUGUUCAGGUUAUGCUGAUCCCAGACCCCCCUGCUCUCUUCAGAACAUAAUUCUUUCCUAUCUUUGGAAUGCAUGAGCUGAGAACUACUUUGAAUCCAAAUCACUGAGCUCCAAGAAAAUUUGAAGUUCUAUCACAGGUAGACGAUCCAUGUUUCUCUAGCUCUUCCAAUGAAAUGCCUCUGAGAGCAAAGGAAGAUCAUGCCCUUCUUCUAAGGGAUGGAGGGCAUAGCCUGAAACAGCAGCCACAGGAGAAAGAUUAUUUGAAGUCUUGAGUUUUAUCAUAGAAAUUCAUGAGACUUCAGCCUUCCAUUUACUACACACUUCUGUUUAUUUUACUAUAAAUCUUCUAGUAAAUGUAGAAGAUCAUUCUUCUCUAAAUUCCAUGCUAAUUCUUCAUCUUUAAAUAUCCUCUAAAAUACUGCCUACAUCCCCAAAGACAUAAGCCAGAAUCUGAAGGCCAGAUGUCCCAUACCUGGGGGUUAAACAACAGAGAUUUUCAGCUCAGUCCAGGGCAGUGGAGGAAAGCACAACUAAUUGGGCAGCAGAGGUAACAAACUGGCAAUCUCAUCUAGCACCAAAAAUCCAGCUGUCUGAGCUAACUCAUGAAUUUACCCUGAGUUCAGUUUAGCCUAGAGCCAAAAGAGUGAAGGUUUUUUCCCAUGCAUCCUCCAGAGAAAAGAUUUUUCUUUGCCUUCCUGGUUCUCAGGAAGUCUCAGAGAUUUUAAUCCAAAUCUCCUUACUUGAGUUUUACAGAUAUGUACUAUUUCACACUUAGUUUUUCUAUAAACCUGGAGGUGAAUAUGCUAAUAACCAUCUCAGUCGUAACCCCACAUUUCUGGGAGUUCCCAUCAUGGCGCAGUGGUUAACGUAUCCCACUAGGAACCAUGAGGUUGUGGGUAAGAUCUCUGGCCUUGCUCAGAGGGUCGAGGAUCCAGCGUUGCCGUGAGCUGUGGUGUAGGUUGCAGAUGCAGCUCGGAUCCCGCGUUGCUGUGGCUCUGGGCGUAGGCUAGUGGCUGUGGCUCCGAUUAGACCCCCUAGACUGGGAAUCUCCAUAUGCCGUGGGAGCAGCCCUAGGAAAGGCAAAAAGAUUAAAAAAAAAAAAAAAA